GCGGUUUCUUAAGUCUGAUGUGAAAGCCCCCGGCUCAACCGGGGAGGGUCAUUGGAAACUGGGGAACUUGAGUGCAGAAGAGGAGAGUGGAAUUCCACGUGUAGCGGUGAAAUGCGAUAGAGAUGUGGAGGAACACCAGUGGCGAAGGCGACUCUCUGGUCUGUAACUGACGCUGAGGAGCGAAAGCGUGGGGAGCGAACAGGAUUAGAUACCCUGGUAGUCCACGCCGUAAACGAUGAGUGCUAAGUGUUAGGGGGUUUCCGCCCCUUAGUGCUGCAGCUAACGCAUUAAGCACUCCGCCUGGGGAGUACGGUCGCAAGACUGAAACUCAAAGGAAUUGACGGGGGCCCGCACAAGCGGUGGAGCAUGUGGUUUAAUUCGAAGCAACGCGAAGAACCUUACCAGGUCUUGACAUCCUCUGACAAUCCUAGAGAUAGGACGUCCCCUUCGGGGGCAGAGUGACAGGUGGUGCAUGGUUGUCGUCAGCUCGUGUCGUGAGAUGUUGGGUUAAGUCCCGCAACGAGCGCAACCCUUGAUCUUAGUUGCCAGCAUUCAGUUGGGCACUCUAAGGUGACUGCCGGUGACAAACCGGAGGAAGGUGGGGAUGACGUCAAAUCAUCAUGCCCCUUAUGACCUGGGCUACACACGUGCUACAAUGGACAGAACAAAGGGCAGCGAAACCGCGAGGUUAAGCCAAUCCCACAAAUCUGUUCUCAGUUCGGAUCGCAGUCUGCAACUCGACUGCGUGAAGCUGGAAUCGCUAGU
rnacentral:rRNA from 1 species